UGAUCCAGCCCUUCCGCGUGAGUGAAGAAGGCCUUCGGGUUGUAAAGCUCUUUCGCAAGGGAAGAAAACUUAUGAUCGAAUAAAUCAUGAGGUUGACGGUACCUUGAUAAGAAGCACCGGCUAACUACGUGCCAGCAGCCGCGGUAAUACGUAGGGUGCGAGCGUUAAUCGGAAUUACUGGGCGUAAAGCGUGCGCAGGCGGUUUUGUAAGUCGGAUGUGAAAUCCCCGGGCUCAACCUGGGAACUGCGUUCGAAACUGCAAGGCUAGAGUGUGUCAGAGGGGGGUAGAAUUCCACGUGUAGCAGUGAAAUGCGUAGAGAUGUGGAGGAAUACCAAUGGCGAAUGCGGCCCCCUGGGAUAACACUGACGCUCAUGCACGAAAGCGUGGGGAGCAAACAGGAUUAGAUACCCUGGUAGUCCACGCCCUAAACGAUGUCAACUAGUUGUUGGUAGAGUAAAAUCUAUGAGUAACGUAGCUAACGCGUGAAGUUGACCGCCUGGGGAGUACGGUCGCAAGAUUAAAACUC
rnacentral:rRNA from 1 species